GUGUCAGCAGCCGCGGUAAUACAGAGGGUGCAAGCGUUGCUCGGAUUUACUGGGCGUAAAGCGUACGCAGACGGCUUGGUAGGUCGGAUGUGAAAGCCCCGGGCUCAACCCGGGAAUUGCAUCCGAAACCACCUCGCUCGAGUGUGGGAGAGGGAAGCGGAAUUCCUGGUGUAGAGGUGAAAUUCGUAGAUAUCAGGAGGAACACCGGCGGCGAAGGCGGCUUCCUGGCCCAUUACUGACGUUCAGGUACGAAAGCGUGGGGAGCAAACAGGAUUAGAUACCCCCGUAGUCC
rnacentral:rRNA from 1 species